GGGGUUCCUAAAGAGGAAAUGAGUAAAUCUCUGAAAGAAACCCAGGAACAUCAGUAGGUAGCAGAGAGGGAAAAGGCUAUGUCUAACUCAAGGUUCUGACCUAUGAACUUCUAAGUGACUAGUAGCCAAACUUU